GGUGGAUUGCCAAAAACUUGGGCAUUACCGGGCUUGCAGAUUUGCACCGGCUGCAGUCGGGAAGAGGCGAGCCGGGAGCGAAGAUUUGCUCCAGGAGAUGCCCAGAUGCAAAGGAACAAAGGGAAGGCGCUCAGGAUGCAGCCAGUGGCCGCGGAUGGACAUCUAGAAAGCUUGUGUUGGCCGAGAAACUGCCCAUACUUCGAAGAACCCCUUCCCCCCCGCAAAAAAAGCAUGACUGCGGAACGACUUCGGCGCAAGGCUGUAUAGAGAAGCUCAAGAACAUCCCCACUUCUUGGAUAUUGUCUACAAACCCCGAGACUAUUUGGAGAGCAUCAUCCAAGUUGCUACAGCGUUAGCUGAACUAUGUCACAAAUCUAGAUGUUUCUCCCACAUUGGCAGUAGGUGACUGGAAGACAAAGAUCUCAUUUUGCCACUUUGAGAAGAAAGUGGGGGUGGGGCCCCCCAAGGCUAUAUUUCGCCCCCCCCCAAAUACAGCCUACUGGCAGGUCUCCUUCUUACAGUUGCAAAUCUCUGUACCCCAUCAUUGGCCUCUCAGUUGGCCACUGGGAGGGCCGGGCAU